CCCCAGGAGUCCUGAUGUUGGCGACUCCCUAGAUUACUCACCCCCCUGAGACCUUGCUGUCGAGGAUGUAUGUAAUGGGAGCACACAAAAGAGCCCGUGAUUCCAGGAAGACGGGCGCCCCCUCUGCCGUGUUCGCUCAGCGGCAAGCACAACACCUGGCCCUGAACAGGUUAUGUUUCACUGCACUUCAGCACCCCCGCCCGAAUGCUAUGGAGGAAUCCAUGGACGCGUGAGCCUAAAGAGAAGGAGACACUGUAUUCCAAAGGCCACUUGGAUGGUGGUGAGAGCUCCUUUCUGUACUUGCAGAGCUGUGUUUGCAAUGUUUGCCUCCCGUCAGGAUCUCAAUUAGGGGCAAGGACUUCUCCCAGGACGAAGAGUGUUCGGCAUGUGUAAAAAUACCCUUGUGUCCGUUGCAUAAAUGUCU